AUUGAACGCUGGCGGCAUGCCUUACACAUGCAAGUCGAACGGCAGCACGGGAGCAAUCCUGGUGGCGAGUGGCGAACGGUGAGUAAUGUAUCGGAAUGUACCUUUCAGUGGGGGAUAACGUAGCGAAAGUUACGCUAAUACCGCAUAUUCUGUGAGCAGGAAAACAGGGGAUCGCAAGACCUUGCGCUGAUUGAGCGGCCGAUAUCAGAUUAGCUAGUUGGUGAGGUAAAGGCUCACCAAGGCGACGAUCUGUAGCGGGUCUGAGAGGAUGAUCCGCCACACUGGAACUGAGACACGGUCCAGACUCCUACGGGAGGCAGCAGUGGGGAAUUUUGGACAAUGGGCGCAAGCCUGAUCCAGCCAUGCCGCGUGAGUGAAGAAGGCCUUCGGGUUGUAAAGCUCUUUCGGCCGGGAAGAAAUCGCACAGGUUAAUACCCUGUGUGGAUGACGGUACCGGAAUAAGAAGCACCGGCUAACUACGUG
rnacentral:rRNA from 1 species